rnacentral:misc_RNA from 1 species
AUCGCGUCGCCCCCCUCCAACGUCCCUAGGGACUCGCGAGAGGGAGCGGAAAAUGGUCUCCCGUGUGCCUUCUGGCCCGCGGCUGGCCUAAAUGAGAUCCUGCAUCGACGGAUGUCACGACCAGUGGUGGUUGAAAACUCAAUCGAGCUGUCGUGCGUCAACUCGUCGCUUGCCGUUUCCUCGAACCGAACGGCGCCUCGUGCGCCCACGA